GCGCACGCGCGCUACGUCCCUCAGACUGGCUGCCCCCGAGGGUUCGCGUGAGCGGAGCACGGGGCUCGGGGUGCGGGGGGCUGGUGUGAUGGACGCAUUUGUUCUUCGGUCCCUGACGAUUGUUUCUCAUUUGCCCUCCAAGCCCCAAAUCCUGUCAGUCCACGGCCUUGAUGGAGCGGCCCCCGUGGGACGACCCUGUUGAUUGUGCUAGCGGAUGUUGUCUCCAUUCUGGAUCUGGGAAAAACUGUGGAGUGAAAGCCGGACCUGUUAGGGUUGGGACCUGAAAGCGGACUUUUUCGCUCUCAGACGGGCCCCAGGAAUUUCAUGUUUAACAGAGGUGUCUUCAAGGAGAUGAAACAAUUCAGAAUGACCUAGGCAAUGGGGUAAUUCCUAAGGUAAGUUACUAUAAAUGUGUAGUAGUUUGCUUCAUCAAAAUGACCAUGUGAUCUCUAAGAACCUUUGCAGUUGUAAAAUUCGAUUUUUAUUGUGCCCCUAAUUUUAGUGGCAUUAUAUGGUGAUUGUGUUCAUUUUUCUGACAUAAUGGUGAAUGAAGAGCAAAUAAGUGCAGUUAGGAAUUUCAAAAAGAAGGACAUACAGUAUCCAUCAAAAUUCAUGGAGAACACUAUUUCCACUGAACACUGUUCUUGGGGUAAGCCUUAAGAAAUUUACCUGGUAAGAUAGGAAAUGCUUGCCACAGGCAAUGGGGGAGACAGUGGAGAUUUUUUUUCAGAGUAAUAUCAGAGGCUAUUUUGCAAAAGAAAUUUUCAGUUUCCCCUGUAAAGAAAUAACUACUCAAGUCCCUACUACUGUCUUAUACAUUUCCUCCUUCCCCCUUCUAAUCUUUCAGGACCUAGUACCUCUCCUAGGUUUUUAAUGAAAACUUUUUGUUACUAUGCAUUCCUUUUUCACAAAGCUGUCAUGACCAUUACAAACCACAAUUUGAGGCUUAUUACAUUAUUAACACUGUCAUGAGACACUGCCUAUUUGUCUGGUAAAUCCUAAUCUUUUCUAUUUCCAUGACUCAUAUUUCAUGUUGCUACAGGAGGAAAUUAACCAAUAUAGAUUCCUGUUAGAGGCAAAUAUAUUCUUGUAUUUUAUAUCAAUGUUGUCAUAAAAUGAUCAUUUCUAACAAAAAUGAACCAAAUGAUUUGCGAUUGCGGGUUUGGUAGAAUAAAAAAAGUAUAUAUUUUAGAGCUGACUCUUUAAAUAACUAUUUAGAAUUGGUAUCUUUCAUUCUCUCAUUUGUUCAACAGAUAGUCAUCAGUUUUCUCGUAUAUGUCAGGCAGUAUUCUAGGGACUGAGGAAUCAGUCAAAAUCAAAACAGACGAAAAAAUCUCUUGGAACUUUAAAUGACUAAGUGGGAUUUAGACAAAUAGAUUUAUUUUAUUUUAUUAUUAUUAUUAUACUUUAAGUUUUAGGGUACAUGUGCAAAAUGUGCAGGUUCUAAUCCAGUGAUAUUUGGCAAUUUCUGGAAACAUUUUUUUUUUGUCACAACUAGGGGAGGGGAUGCUGCUGGUAUCUGGUGGGUAAAGAUGAGGGAUGCUGCUAAACAUUCUGCAAUGUGCAGGACAGCACAAAGAAUUAUCCAGCUGAGGCUGUGCUAAUCUUUAGUAUUGUAGGUCAAGAUAUUGGUUACCUAUGAGGGGGUGAUGCCUGGAGGAAGACCUAAGGGGAGGUCUUCUGGAUACUGAGUGCAUGGGUGAGUUUAUUGUGUCAAAAGCUUCUGCACUUGUGAUCUGUGCAUUUUCCUGUGCGUAUGAUUUUAACAUACAACCCCUACAUUCUGUGAAACUCCUCCCACUAAGAGUUAGGGAUCAAUGUCCCUUCCUCUUGCAUCUUGGAUCCGUGGCUGCUUAACCAAUAUAAUACAACAGAAGUAAUAUUGUGCCCGUUUCCAGACUCAGGCCUUAAAACAUUAGCUGUUUCAACUUUCCAUCACUUGCAACACUCACUCUUAGACCCCACCACCGUGCCCUGAGGAAGCCCAAACAACCCAUGGAGACAUCCGCAUGGAGAGACCUGUGCCCUCAGUCCUGGUUGAACUCCCAGCUGACAGUCAAUGUCAACUUGCCAGCCAUAUGAGUGAACCAUACUGAAGUUCAUCAUCCAUCCCUGAGUAAAGCUACGUGAGCUGACACCAUGUGGAGAAGAAACAAGCAUUCUUACUGAGCCCCGCCCAAAUUGCCGAUUCAUGAACUAAAAAAAAAGAUUGCUGUUCAUUUAAGCCACUAAAUUUUAGGAAUGUUUAGUAAGCAGCAAUCUAUAACUAGAACAAUGGUCAAUAAAUGAAAAUUUUACUUUAAGAAGGCAUACUAUAGCCACAUAACUUUGGGAAACUCUCUUGGUUAAAGUUUUAAAAAUUUCCCUUACUGCAGAGCUUUUAAUGGGCUAAUGUGUUUCAUGUUCCCUCACAAGAGUAUCCAGUGUUUCUCAAACAUUUUUAACCACAGAAUCUGUAUUGUAAAGUGCCAUCUUGCGAGAUUGGGGUUAACGGCCAGACUUUAAGAAAACCAAAUGAACUUUUCAGUAAUUCAAUAAUUGAAAUUCUAAUUCUUAAAAUUGCAAAGAGUUUACAUUAGGAUAGUUUUAAUUUGAAAAGUCAUAUGUUAUAGAGUUAAUUCUGGUAAUAAAGUAAAAUACCCUAAAUUUGCCUCAAUGUCUUUUUAAACUAUUUGCAAAGCUUUGAUGACAGUUAAAAAACCUAGAUGACCCUUCUGUAGUUAUUCCAAAGUCCCUGAGGUCAUAAUCAAUGGUUACAUAAGUUUUUUAAAAAAAACCUAAAUUCUGUUUUUCCUUGGAAAGUAAUAGUAGCAAUGUAUAUGCUGAUUUAGAGGUUGAAUGCUUUCCACAUUUCCUUAAGUUCUUUCCUGAUCUUACAC
ensembl:lncRNA novel transcript